rnacentral:rRNA from 1 species
CGUCUAUAUACGUAUAGCAUAUCAAUAAGCGGAGGAAAAGAAACUAACAAGGAUUCCCCUAGUAACGGCGAGUGAAGCGGGAAGAGCUCAAAUUUGAAAUCUUAAAGGGUUUCCCUUUACGAAUUGUAGUUUAAAGAAGUGUUUUCUGUUGGAGUUUCGGUAAAAGUUCUUUGGAAUAGGACAUCAUAGAGGGUGAGAAUCCCGUAUUUGACCGUUACUUUCCAGCUGUGUGAUACACUUUCAAAGAGUCGGAUUGUUUGGGAAUGCAGUCCAAAAUGGGUGGUAAAUUUCAUCUAAAGCUAAAUAUUGGCGAGAGACCGAUAGCGAACAAGUACCGUGAGGGAAAGAUGAAAAGAACUUUGAAAAGAGAGUUAAACAGUACGUGAAAUUGUCAAAAGGGAAGCGUUUGACACCAGUGUUGUUUAGUUGAAAAUCAAUUAAAUAUUUUUUGAUUUUAAGUAGUAUUGACCUUAUCAGCUUGCUGCUCUCUUUACAGAAACUUAUCUUAAUGCACUUUUCAGUUAACAAGUCAACAUCAAUUUCUUUUGUUGUAAAAGAGUAAUGAGGAAGGUGGCUUUCUUUUCGGAGAAAGUGUUUAUAGCCUUGUAGCCUCUGCAAUCGGAGAGAUUGAGGUCUGCAGCGUAGAUCCUUCGGGGUUAGAUACAGUUUGUGCUAAGUUAUAGCUUUUCAUAGACAACUUGUUGACUAUGUUAGUCUUGUAGCUUACUCGCUUAUGCUAUUUUACCUACGCUUAGGAUGUUGACGAGACUGUCGAUCUC